rnacentral:rRNA from 1 species
AAACAGGAUUAGAUACCCUGGUAGUCCACGCUGUAAACGAUGUCGACUUGGAGGUUGUUCCCUUGAGGAGUGGCUUCCGGAGCUAACGCGUUAAGUCGACCGCCUGGGGAGUACGGCCGCAAGGUUAAAACUCAAAUGAAUUGACGGGGGCCCGCACAAGCGGUGGAGCAUGUGGUUUAAUUCGAUGCAACGCGAAGAACCUUACCUGGUCUUGACAUCCACGGAAGUUUUCAGAGAUGAGAAUGUGCCUUCGGGAACCGUGAGACAGGUGCUGCAUGGCUGUCGUCAGCUCGUGUUGUGAAAUGUUGGGUUAAGUCCCGCAACGAGCGCAACCCUUAUCCUUUGUUGCCAGCGGUCCGGCCGGGAACUCAAAGGAGACUGCCAGUGAUAAACUGGAGGAAGGUGGGGAUGACGUCAAGUCAUCAUGGCCCUUACGACCAGGGCUACACACGUGCUACAAUGGCGCAUACAAAGAGAAGCGACCUCGCGAGAGCAAGCGGACCUCAUAAAGUGCGUCGUAGUCCGGAUUGGAGUCUGCAACUCGACUCCAUGAAGUCGGAAUCGCUAGUAAUCGUGGAUCAGAAUGCCACGGUGAAUACGUUCCCGGGCCUUGUACACACCGCCCGUCACACCAUGGGAGUGGGUUGCAAAAGAAGUAGGUAGCUUAACCUUCGGGAGGGCGCUUACCACUUUGUGAUUCAUGACUGGGGUGAAGUCGUAACAAGGUAACCGUAGGGGAACCUGCGGUUG